rfam:Enterococcus casseliflavus EC20, complete genome.
AGAGUGUUAUGAUGUUGGAAGAAACUUUCCGAGUCUAGCUCAGCGCCUACACCUCGAUGUAUUUCGAGGUGU